CAACAGGGAUUGCCCUAGUAACGGCGAGUGAAGCGGCAACAGCUCAAAUUUGAAAUCUGGCUCUCGGGCCCGAGUUGUAAUUUGUAGAGGAUACUUUUGAUGCGGUGCCUUCCGAGUUCCCUGGAACGGGACGCCAUAGAGGGUGAGAGCCCCGUCUGGUUGGAUGCCAAAUCUCUGUAAAGUUCCUUCGACGAGUCGAGUAGUUUGGGAAUGCUGCUCUAAAUGGGAGGUAUAUGUCUUCUAAAGCUAAAUACCGGCCAGAGACCGAUAGCGCACAAGUAGAGUGAUCGAAAGAUGAAAAGCACUUUGAAAAGAGAGUUAAAAAGUACGUGAAAUUGUUGAAAGGGAAGCGUUUAUGACCAGACUUGGGCUUGGUUAAUCAUCUGGGGUUCUCCCCAGUGCACUUUUCCAGUCCAGGCCAGCAUCAGUUUUCCCCGGGGGAUAAAGACUUCGGGAAUGUGGCUCUCUCCGGGGAGUGUUAUAGCCCGUUGUGUAAUACCCUGGCGGGGACUGAGGUUCGCGCAUCUGCAAGGAU
rnacentral:rRNA from 1 species